GGUUCGACUAAGCCAUGCGAGUCGAAUGUAGCAAUACAUGGCGAACUGCUCAGUAACACGUGGACAACCUGCCCUUAGGACGGGGAUAAACCCGGGAAACUGGGUAUAAUACCCGAUAGGUCUCGAUUGCUGGAAUGCAUCGAGAUUUAAAGCUCCGGCGCCUAAGGAUGGGUCUGCGGCCUAUCAGGUAGUAGUGGGUGUAGCGUACCUACUAGCCUACGACGGGUACGGGUUGUGAGAGCAAGAGCCCGGAGAUGGAUUCUGAGACACGAAUCCAGGCCCUACGGGGUGCAGCAGGCGCGAAAACUUUACAAUGCUGGCAACAGCGAUAAGGGAACCUCGAGUGCCAGGUUACAAAUCUGGCUGUCGAGAUGCCUAAAAAGCAUUUCAUAGCAAGGGCCGGGCAAGACCGGUGCCAGCCGCCGCGGUAACACCGGCGGCUCGAGUGGUAACCGUUAUUAUUGGGUCUAAAGGGUCUGUAGCCGGCCGGAUAAGUCUCUUGAGAAAUCUGGCAGCUUAACUGUCAGGCUUUCAGGAGAUACUGUCUGGCUCGAGGCCGGGAGAGGUGAGAGGUACUUCAGGGGUAGGGGUGAAAUCUUG
rnacentral:rRNA from 1 species